CUUCACAGUCCAGCGACAGUCAAAGACGUGUCCCUACAGAAAAGAUUCUUCACGCUAGAAAUAAGAUGGAGCUGGGACUGAGGCUUUUGGAGAAGAUUAGAAAAAACAUACAGACAACGAUGAAAUCUCCGCGAAUAUAGGCCUAUUGCUGAGGUCGCUCAUGAUAGUGAUUCACAACCCAGGCAAGAGAAAAAUCAGAACCCAAGUGAAAAUGCAGACUGACAACCACAGCGUAAGAAGAAGGCAAGUUCUUGUGGAAAACAUUUCUAGACUGGGUUUUUGCUAAGGUAGAGUGCGAAUGUCAAAUAAUUGGUUAGAAAUAUAAUCAGAAAUCAAAGAAA